UGAGGAAUAUUGGUCAAUGGGCGAGAGCCUGAACCAGCCAAGUAGCGUGAAGGAUGACUGCCCUAUGGGUUGUAAACUUCUUUUAUACGGGAAUAAAGUGGAGUAUGCAUACUCCUUUGUAUGUACCGUAUGAAUAAGGAUCGGCUAACUCCGUGCCAGCAGCCGCGGUAAUACGGAGGAUCCGAGCGUUAUCCGGAUUUAUUGGGUUUAAAGGGAGCGUAGGCGGACGCUUAAGUCAGUUGUGAAAGUUUGCGGCUCAACCGUAAAAUUGCAGUUGAUACUGGGUGUCUUGAGUACAGUAGAGGCAGGCGGAAUUCGUGGUGUAGCGGUGAAAUGCUUAGAUAUCACGAAGAACUCCGAUUGCGAAGGCAGCGUACCGGCGCCCAACUGACGCUGAAGCACGAAGGCGUGGGGUAUCGAACAGGAUUAGAUACC
rnacentral:rRNA from 1 species